rnacentral:rRNA from 1 species
AAGUCAAGAACGUGUGUGAGGAAAGUUCACACAGUGACGGUAGCUUACCAGAAAGACGGCUAACUACGUGCCAGCAGCCGCGGUAAUACUAGGUCCCGAGCGUUGUGAUUUAUUGGGCGUAAAGGGAGCGCAGGCGGUCAGGAAAGUUGGAGUAAAAGGCUAUGGCUCAACCAUAGUGUGCUCUGGAAACUGUCUGACUGUGCAGAAGGGGAGAGUGGAAUUCCAUGUGUAGCGGUGAAAUGCGUAAUAUAUGGAGGAACACCAGUGGCGAAAGCGGCUCUCUGGUGACGCUGAGGCUCGAAAGCGUGGGUAGCAUUAGCCCUGGUAGUCACGCCGUAAACGAUGAGUGCUAGGUGUUAGGCCCUUUCCGGGGCUUAGUGCCGGAGCUAACGCAAUAAGCACUCCGCCUGGGGAGUACGACCGCAAGGUUGAAACCAAAGGAAUUGACGGGGGCCCGCACAAGCGGUGGAGCAUGUGGUUUAAUUCGAAGAACGCGAAGAACCUUAGUCUUGACAUCCCGAUGCUAUUCUUAGAGAUAGGAAGUUACUUCGGUACAUCGGAGACAGGUGGUGCAUGGUUGUCGUCAGCUCGUGUCGUGAGAUGUUGGGUUAAGGCAACGAGCGCAACCCUUAUUGUUAGUUGCCAUCAUUAAGUUGGGCACUCUAGCGAGACUGCCGGUAAUAAACCGGAGGAAGGUGGGGAUGAGUCAAAUCAUCAUGCCCCUUAUGACCUGGGACACACGUGCUACAAUGGGGUACAACGAGUUGCGAGCCGGUGACGGCAACUAAUCUCUGAAAGCCGAUCUAUUGGAGGUGCAACUCGCCUCCAUGAAGUCGGAUCGCUAGUAAUCGCGGAUCAGCAGAAUACGUUCCCGGGCCUUGUACACACCGCCCGUCACACCACGAGAGUU